UGCGUAGGUGGUAAGGCAAGUCAGGUGUGAAAUCUCCGGGCUCAACCCGGAAAUGGCAUUCGAAACUACCUUGCUAGAGGGUUUGAGGGGGGGACUGGAAUACUUGGUGUAGCAGUGAAAUGCGUAGAUAUCAAGUGGAACACCAGUGGCGAAGGCGAGUCCCUGGAAAACUCCUGACACUGAGGCACGAAAGCUAGGGAAAGCAAACA
rnacentral:rRNA from 1 species